rnacentral:rRNA from 1 species
GUCCUAGCCGUAAACGAUGGGCACUAGGUGUGGGAGGUAUCGACCCCUUCCGUGCCGCAGCUAACGCAUUAAGUGCCCCGCCUGGGGAGUACGGCCGCAAGGUUGAAACUCAAAGGAAUUGACGGGGGCCCGCACAAGCGGUGGAGCAUGUGGUUUAAUUCGACGCAACGCGAAGAACCUUACCGAGGCUUGAACUGCAGUGGACUGCCCUAGAAAUAGGGUUUCCCCGCAAGGGGCCGCUGUAGAGGUGCUGCAUGGCUGUCGU